rnacentral:tRNA from 1 species
GGCUCUGUAGUGUAGUGGUUAUCACCCGGGAUUCUGAUUGCGUAUUCCCGUGACCCAGGUUCGAUCCCUGGCAGGGCCU